rnacentral:misc_RNA from 1 species
UUUCCGUAGGUGAACCUGCGGAAGGAUCAUUAUUGUAUAACCGAGGUGCGAGGGCUGUCGCUGACCCGAAAGGUCGUGCACGCCCGAGUGCCCUCACACACAUCCACCUCACCCCUAUGUGCACCACCGCGUGGGUCCCCCUUUGGCUUGUUCGGAGGGGGGCUUACGUGUUCACACAGACUUUGUAUGCAGUGUAGAAUGUAUUUUUUGUUUUUGCGAUCACGCAAUCAAUACAACUUUCAACAACGGAUCUCUUGGCUCUC